rnacentral:rRNA from 1 species
AUUGAACGCUGGCGGCAGGCCUAACACAUGCAAGUCGAACGAGUGGCGGACGGGUGAGUAAUGUCUGGGAAACUGCCUGAUGGAGGGGGAUAACUACUGGAAACGGUAGCUAAUACCGCAUACCAUCGGAUGUGCCCAGAUGGGAUUAGCUAGUUGGUGGGGUAAAGGCUAACCAAGGCGACGAUCCCUAGCUGGUCUGAGAGGAUGACCAGCAACACGGGAACUGAGACACGGUCCAGACGCCUACGGGAGGCAGCAGUGGGGAAUAUUGAACAAUGGGCGAAAGCCUGAUGCAGCCAUGCCGCGUGGAGGAAGAAGGCCUUCGGGUUGUAAAGUACUUUCAGCGGGGAGGCGUUACCCGCAGAAGAAGCACCGGCUAACUCCGUGCCAGCAGCCGCGGUAAUUC